rnacentral:rRNA from 1 species
AUGCUUGUCUCAAGGAUUAAGCCAUGCAUGUCUAAGUACAUACCUUUGCACGGUGAAACCGCGAAUGGCUCAUUAAAUCAGUUAUGGUUUCUUAGAUCGUUCUUUUUACAUGGAUAACUGUGGUAAUUCUAGAGCUAAUACAUGCAAAAAGCUCCGACCGUAUGGGAAGAGCGCUUUUAUUAGACCAAAACCAAUGGGGUCGCAAGACUCCUUUGUAUGGUGACUCUGGAUAACUUUAUGCUGAUCGCAUGGCCUAGAGCCGGCGACGUAUCUUUCAAGUGUCUGACCUAUCAACUUUCGAUGGUAAGCGAUUUGCCUACCAUGGUUGCAACGGGUAACGGGGAAUA